AGAAAAAUGAAAUUCACACAAUACUUUAUCUUCUUCUUCUUCAUUUUGAGCUUUGUUUCAUCCCAUGAUACCAGCAUAAUAUUCACCACCUUAGGAAGAUCAAGUUAUGCCUUCGACAUCUUCGCUCUUCCAACAACACACCCACAAACCGAAUUCCAGUUGACCGAUGGCAAUUCCGUUAACUUUAACGGUCAUUUCCCUGCCACCCUACCACCUUCCCUGCUCUCCCGCCUACCCGAUGAUGAUUCUGUCAACUCUGGGUUUCAUCUUAUCUAUGUAACUGAAAGGAACGGCACCCACCAUGUAUUCUAUGACGCUGUAUUUCAUGACAUACUUGAGUUUCCAUCUCAAACUCGACUUCAGGUUCCUUUGGUAGGUUUUGAGCAAUCAGUUUCUAUGAAAGAUAAGCCUAGUUUAUCUGGGGAAUUUUUGAUAUACGUAUCGACUCAUGAGGAUUCCGGUGUGCCUAGGACUAGCUGGGCUGCGGUAUAUUCCACUCAUUUGGUUUCCGGGUUCACCCAGAGGUUGACACCUAAAGGGGUUGCUGAUUUCAGCCCCGCAGUGUCUCCUUCCGGCGUUUGGACGGCGGUGGCAUCGUAUGGGGGGGAGAAGGGUUGGAGUGGGGAGGUUGAGGAACUCGAUACGGAUAUCUAUAUUUUCAUGACUCGUGAUGGGUCGGGUCGGGUUAAGGUGGUGGAGCACGGUGGGUGGCCAUCUUGGGCUGAUGAGUAUACUCUGUAUUUCCACCGGAGAUGCGAUGAUGGGUGGUGGAGUGUGUUCAAAGUUCUACUUCCGAAAUCAGGUGUCGACUUCUUAGUCUCUGUCUCUACCCCGCAGCGAGUCACCCCAUCGGGUUUGCACGUUUUCACACCAGCAUCUUCUCCGGUGAACAAGAACCUCAUCGCCGUCGCUACCAGAAGAGCAGGUUCAGAGUAUCGGCACAUCGAGCUAUUUGACGUCGUUUCUAAGAAGUUCACAGAGAUAACCCGAUCCUUUUCAUCUUAUGCUCAUCAUCUGAACCCCUUCUUUUCGCCGGAUUCUUCCUGGGUUGGAUACCAUAAAUGUCGAGGCACAGGCGAUAUACUGUUACUGGAAAAUCUUCUAAACCCGAUACCCGGAAUCUCUCUAUUCCGGAUUGACGGGUCGUUUCCAUCAUUUUCACCAAAUGGUGAUCGGAUAGCUUAUGUUAGGUUACCUGGAUUAUAUGUGGUGAACUAUGACGGAUCAGGUCUGCGUCAAAUUUCAUCUAGAACCGCCUUUUCCACGGCUUGGGACCCGAAAAGAAAGGGGGUAAUUUACACUAGCUUUGGCCCAACAUUUGCUAGUGAAAGCACACAAGUGGAUAUCAUUUCCAUCAAUGUAGAUGAUGAAGACUUGAGCUAUAAGCAAUUGACAAUAGGAGGGAAGAAUAACGCAUUUCCGUCCCCUUCACCUGAUGGGAAAUGGAUCGUCUUCCGAUCGGGGAGAUCAGGUCACAAGAACUUGUACAUAAUGGAUGCUUUGGAAGGAGAGGUGGGUGGUCUACGUCCAUUGACAGAGGGGCCAUGGACGGAUACCAUGUGUAAUUGGUCACCGGAUGAUGAAUGGAUUGCAUUUGCAUCCGAUCGAGAAAACCCUGGGUCAGGUAGUUUCGAGAUGUAUAUGAUUCACCCUAAUGGAACAGGACUCAAGAAGGUGAUCCAGAGUGGUAUAGGUGGGAGGACUAACCAUCCUUAUUUCAGCCCGGAUGGCAAGUAUAUAGUGUUCACUUCAGAUUACGCCGCCGUAUCAGCUGAGCCCAUCUCGAAUCCUCAUCAUUAUCAGCCAUAUGGUGAUAUAUAUGUGAUCAAAUCAGACGGCUCAGACAUACGAAGAUUAACACACAAUUCAUACGAGGAUGGUACGCCCGCUUGGGGCCCUACUUUCAUAGAACCUAUGGAUGUAGAAUGGCCUAACGGUGGUCAGCCCUGUUCUUUUGAAGAUUGUCACUGGCUGAAUGUUAGGACUAAUGCAUCCUUCGGCUUAGAUUCUGCCAAGAUUCAGUGUGCUCAAUGAACUUCUCUUAUAGGGCUAGAGUGUCUGUGCUAUAUGUAAAUUAUAGAAUAAUUAUGUAUCUGUUGUCUAUUGUGACUCUGUAAAAUAUUUUUGCCAAUGUAUACGGUUGAAUCCUUGAUCAAUAUAAAUUAUGAGCGAAUUA
rnacentral:misc_RNA from 1 species